rnacentral:rRNA from 1 species
UACGGGGGGAGCAAGCGUUGUUCGGAUUUACUGGGCGUAAAGGGCGCGUAGGCGGUCAGCACAAGUCAGUUGUGAAAUCUCCGGGCUUAACUCGGAAAGGUCAACUGAUACUGUGCGACUAGAGUGCGGAAGGGGCAACUGGAAUUCUCGGUGUAGCGGUGAAAUGCGUAGAUAUCACUCGGAAGGCCAAAGGCGAAGGCAGGUUACUGGUACGCAACUGACGCUGAGGCACGAAAGCGUGGGGAGCAAACAGG